GUGUCAGCCGCCGCGGUAAUACAGAGGGUGCGAACGUUGCUCGGAUUUACUGGGCGUAAAGCGCGUGUAGGCGGACUCGCAAGUCGGUUGUGAAAUCCCUGGGCUCAACCUAGGAACUGCAUCCGAAACUGCUUGUCUAGAGUGGUAGAGAGGGUGGCGGAAUUCCCGGUGUAGAGGUGAAAUUCGUAGAUAUCGGGAGGAACAUCAGUGGCGAAGGCGGCCACCUGGAUACUUACUGACGCUGAGACGCGAAAGCGUGGGGAGCAAACAGGAUUAGAUACCCUAGUAGUCC
rnacentral:rRNA from 1 species